rnacentral:lncRNA from 1 species
GGAAAUUCCCAAAGCCUCUAAUGUAGUUAGGAAAACAAAGUGAGAGAUGACUGACCUGUCCCUCACUAAAGACCUAGCCCUGUGACUAAUGAUUCUGUUGUCCCCCAUCACCACCCCUUCCUGCCCAGUAUCCAGAACUGCUGUCCAACCCUCAGAGAGUGUACUGGAUCACAUACGGACAGACCCUGCUCAUCCAUGGGGAUGGCCAAAUGUUCCGACAUAUUCUCAACUUCCUGAGACUUGGAAAACUGUUCUUACCAUCUGAAUUUAAAGCAUGGACCCAAGAGAAAGAAUCUGAAAAUGAAGAAGCUUUUCCCAUCAGGAAGCUGCAUGUAGUGACAGAAGGGCCACGGUCAUUGGUGGAGUUCAGUAGAGAUGCUAAGGAAACUACAGCCUGCAUGCCUGUGGACUUCCAAGAUUGCAAUGACAAGAAUCCAUGGAACAAGACCAAGGGGAACCUGGCCAGAUCUAGCCAAUUAAAAGAGGCUGAACAGCACCCCCGAGCCAUCCAGGUCUCCCUAUGCCGAAAUGCCAAGAAGGCAGACAAUUCCAGCACAUACUCACAGUGCUCUGGCUUGUGUGGCAACCCCAGACACUGGGGGGCCCACUCUGAGAGUCCUCCCAAAAAGAAGUGCCCCACAAUCAACCUCACACAGAAACUUGAAACCAAAGACCCUCCUGUCACCCCCAUGCAAAAACUCAUCUCCCUGGUAAGGGAAUGGGACAUGGUCAAUUGCAAACAGUGGGAAUUCCAGCCCCUGACAGCCCCCCACAACAGCCCCUUAGAGGAGGUUGCCCCACAUCCCUCUUCCGGAAAUGAGGCUGCUUCUGAGCCCAGUACCUCAGCUGCCUGGAAAAGCCAUUCCAUAGUCUCAGAGAAGGGCCCAAGUCCACAGGCAGGGGCUGGAACAGCAGCACAAGACAAGGGGACUGCUUUCAUUGUGUCCCAUAGAUUCUGAUAUGUUGUAUUGUCAUUGUCAUUUAAUUGUAGGAACUGUCUGAUUUCUUCUUUAAUUUCCUCUGUGACCCAUUGGUUUUUUCAGA